UACGUAGGGUGCGAGCGUUGUCCGGAAUUAUUGGGCGUAAAGAGCUCGUAGGCGGCCUGUCGCGUCGGAUGUGAAAGCCCGGGGCUCAACCCCGGGUCUGCAUUCGAUACGGGCAGGCUGGGGUGUGGUAGGGGAGAUCGGAAUUCCUGGUGUAGCGGUGAAAUGCGCAGAUAUCAGGAGGAACACCGGUGGCGAAGGCGGAUCUCUGGGCCAUUACUGACGCUGAGGAGCGAAAGCGUGGGUAGCGAACAGG
rnacentral:rRNA from 1 species